AGCGAACGCUGGCGGCAGGCCUAACACAUGCAAGUCGAACGGCAGCACAGUAAGAGCUUGCUCUUGCGGGUGUCGAGCGGCGGAAGGGUGAGGAAUACACCGGAAUCUACUUUUUCGUGGGUGCUAACGUAGGGAAAGUUACGCUGAUAACGCAUAUGACCUACUGGUGAAGGCAGGGGAUCUUCGGACCUUGCGCGAUUGAAUGAGCCGAUGUCGGAUUAGCUAGUUGGCGGGGUAAAGGCGCACCAAGGCGACGAUCCGUAGCUGGUCUGAGAGGAUGGACAGGCACACUGGAACUGAGGAACGGCCCCGACUCCUGCGGGAGGCAGCGGUGGGGAAUAUUGGGCAAUGGGGGCAAGCGUGAUCCAGCCAUACCGCGUGGGUGAUGAAGGCGUUCGGGUGGUAAAGCCCUUUUGUUGGGAAAGAAAAGCAGCACUUUCAUCCCCCGCGGUACUGACGGUACCCAAAGAAUAAGCACCGGCUAACUUCGUG
rnacentral:rRNA from 1 species